CUUCUCUCAUUUCUCUUCUCUCUUCUUUGUUUCUUCUGUAAUUUCUUCAUGUUUUCUUCUCACAAGCAUAAUAUUUUCAACAUGGGUUCUUUUAUAUAACAAAUGUUCAUAGAUUUAGUUCAUAUUUUUAUGAACAUCAUCUCUACCGUUGAAAUUGUUUUUAUAUUUAUUAUUCUCUUUACUUUGUUAUCUUAUAAUUUUUAAUGUUCUUCUGUUCUUUGUUGUGCAGAUUCAGUUUUAAUCUUCAAUUUCAAUAUGAAGUUGUGUUAUUGGAGAUGAUGAAAUUUGGAUGUGUAGAUGGAUCUGAAAAGUUGAAUCUAGAUCUGUAGCGGGGGUUGUUAAGUUGGAUCCGAAAAGCUGGAAAGUUGAAACUGAAAAGUUUUUGGAUCUGUACUUAAGAAAAAUCUAAAGUUAUGUUUAAUCUGUUUAUGUUCUAAGUUCUGUACACUGGUGUGAAGGUUUGAAGUUUUUGGAGUGAUUUGUAAUAAAAGUGUUUGCAACUGUUGUUGUGGAAUUGUUCAUCUUUGCUUCCAAAGCAAAAGCAAAAUAAAUUUGAAUGUUUUACCAUUAUAGAUUAAAUCUGGAAGAUUAAAUCUGGA